GGCGAACAACAUUGGAGGCAAAGUUCCGAGGACCAGCACCAGACAACCCACCCCUUCGGAGCCCCCGAGGAUCACGCAGCCGCUCAGUAAUCUGACGCUGUUGGCGGAAGAGCUCAUCGAUCUCUCGCUGGAGCUCUUCCUCAGUCUUGUCAAUAGCGGUGGUGGUACCCAUAUCGGGUGCGGUUGCGGUUAGUUGCUCCAAGAAUUUGCGCGACCUCAACAAUACAGAGACCAGAAGCUACGUCUGUGACUGUAAGAGUUGUUGGGUGUGGUCGUGUUG
rnacentral:misc_RNA from 1 species